rnacentral:lncRNA from 1 species
GAUCUCCACGCUGCAGCCCGUGGAGGAGCCCCCGGUGGAGCAGGUGGAUGUGGCCUGGAGGAGGCUGCGGCCCAUGGAGAGCCCCCGCAGGAGCAGGCCUGGUGGUGAUUAUUCAUCAGCAGACUGAUGAACCAUCUUUUAAGUGAAAACAAAUGAAUUUGAUAUUAACAUUGUGCAUGCUGAAUGGUUAACAGAAGUUGAACGGUUCUGAAAUAAAUGUCUUGGAGACCUGUAGAAACACAAAGAAGGCUGGAAGAGACACUGCCAUCUAGCGGGUAUUCAAUUAUACUUUUUUCAGCAAUAACAUGUUAACUAUUAGCAACGUCUUAGAAACAAAGCACUACAAAGCAAAAUAAAGCCCAACAUAUGCAUGAACUCAGCAAAGGGAACAAAGGAGGAAUUCAGAGACAACUGGAAGAUGAAAGUGAUACGAAGGGGAUGUACACAUCUAGCACCUCAAAACAGAGCCAUGUUCAAGUUGGCAUACUUGAAACCAGAACUUCGUAAUAAAUAUAUCGUCAAAUUGUUGAACUUUAUCACUGGUAUAUAGUGCUAAAAGGUCUUUGAAGCAUUAACAAAAGUUAUAAGCAGCUGCAGUAAAGGGAAGUGAAAAGAGGAAAGGUAGGGUUUUGUUUGUUUGUUUUGUUUUCUUCUUUUCCCUACAAUUAUUCCAUCUCAGCCACUGGAGUACUAUAAAGGUGUUAAGUUCUACCUCUGCAAAUCUGCAGAGGAAAUACAGAUGUUGGAUAUGCAGUGUUAAAGCCUAUUUACAGCAAACAAAUACAACAACUUGCUGUUAUCAAAAUGUGGAGGUCAUACCCCCCCCUUAUUCCAUCUAUUCCUCUCCUCUGCUCUUAGCUGCACCCAUUCAUUUUGCUAGACCCCUCAAGUGAGCCAGUACAACUUACGUAGCCAGAGGAAAAUAAACCAGGAAAAAUGUGAACA